rnacentral:lncRNA from 1 species
CUCAUUUUUUAGAAAAUAUCAAGACCUCUAAUGUCCAUGCUCCAUUAGCCUGAAGAAGACGUUCUAGCUUGGAAAUGAUCCUUGUUGGAGAGGAAGAAAGCCAAGUCAGCAAGAACUGGAAGACCUGGCCUCCAGAUUCAACUCCUCCUGCUCUCCUUCCUUUGAAUUGGAUAUGGCUAUUGAAUACCUUGAGAAGAUUAACAUUUUAUCUUUUCAAACUACCCUUCGCUCAUCCUCAAAAAUGAGCUCAUACAGGAAGCCUGUUUUCAGCCUCACAAUUGACAGGUAAGAGGGGUUGAGACGGGAAACUUCUCACUUUUGUUAGGAGUUGACUGUUUUUGUCUUCUUAUUAUAUAAUCUAUCAGUAAACUCAUCUAUAAAAUAUGUUGAUAUGAAUGACCCACAGUGAGAAACCAUAAUUCUCCAGGUUCCUACAAGGAAACAUUAGAGAAGCAAAGAGGAA